UUGGGGUCUCCUUUCUCCAGUUAUUUCUUCCCCAAAGACGAAGAACCUGAAACAUUGCAGUGGGAGAGCUGACUCUACCUGCUUGUUGCUGGUGUUGAGAGUUCCAGGUCUGCAGAUCACCAGAGGGCCCACUAAGCCGGAACUGGUAUCUUGGAUGGGAUUUAUCGCAGAGGAGUACAUCCAGGCUUCUUGCUAAGUCAGGUACAGUGAGUGGAGAUGGAACUUGGAGGCAACUGUGAUGUGUCCCUCAACCAUACAGCAUGCUGGGAUACCUGGAAGCUUUGUGAAUGUGAUUGUUGACCUGACAGUUCAGAAGCCAUUUCCCAGCGUUACUGGGGAUCAUGUCAGCUGUAACAAAAGUGGCUGGAAAGAGGCUGACCACAUUGGACCUGUGGCCUCUGACGGUGAGUGUCUGUCCAUGGAAGAAGACUGUGUGAGUGUCAGUCUCACUGCCCAUCCCAAAGAGGUGCCAUGCCACGUGAUCCCCAACACACAUUGUCAUCUCAGAUACCCAGGUAAUAGACUCUGGUGGCACCUUCAGCAAAGAUGGGCAGCAGUAGCAAGUGAAGGAAAAACAGAGACUGAGGCAGCAGUUGCCAACAAGAUUCCAUCCCAGCUCAAGGCGAAGGUUCUUCAGGAGCAGGCAACUGCUUUUUCGGUAAAGAAAAAGAAAAAAAAGAAUCUGAAGUAAUGGGACAACAAUCAGGCUUUCACUCUCGUACCUUAAUCCUAAGCAGUGUGGUUUGAAGGUCCGGGAUGUUCUGAGAACAUGGGAAGGAAUCAACAUGUAAAAACUUCUGGUGUCACCAUUUAAUUAUACCAGAAUGAAUGGGAAAAUUAACAAGGAUUCUCAGCUCCCAUGCUUCAAGCAUAAGGUUGUCACUGGCUCCAGGAUGAGAAAAAAAUCCUCCAUCCACCCCCCAACCCCACACACCCCCGGUCUAUUAAUGUACCACAAAGUGUACUGAAGGAGUUAUACCUUCCUCAACAGCAUCUGACACUGGCCACUAACGGAGACAGGGCAAUGGACUAUUGACAAUUGGCCUGUCAUAAUGGGGUAAUUCCUAUAGGGUGGAGAGGGGCUUGGCAUGCCUAAAAAAUCCUGACUAUCUCUCAUGCUAACCUAGCCAACUUUCUCAACUGUUUCAUUGGAUAUAGUAUUCUCCUAAACUGCCUGUCCUGUAGUUUUGGGUCAUGUCGCUGUGCAUUGUAAAACUACUGUGCUUCACUGUGGGUGUUUGUACUGCCAUGGUGGGUUAAGUAGGUCCUUAUAAAUCUGUUUCUAAUGUGCU